AUCUGUACUAAAUGAAUGUAAGAAAAAAACCAGGGAGUUGUGGUGGGUUAGCUGCAAUUGCCCUCUAAAAGCAGUUAACAACCAUCCCUAGCCCAACCCUUAUGCUACGUUCUGUGUGUAAGAGUAUAUUUCAUUUGUCUGUUGCUAAGUCAGGGUCUACAAAACAAACCUCCACAAGUGGUGAUUGACAUCUCAGGUAGGGGAGGAAUCAAGGUCAGGUCUCAGGUGGUAACCCCAACUUCACACCCAUCACAGCUGGCACCCAAACUAAAACACCAACGUGAUCAAGGUCUUAGGUGGUAACCACAACAUACUACUCCACAGCUGGCCCCGAGUUGAGGGAGCCCAUACAGGGAGGUGGUAACAGGGCGUGGAGGGUGCAGGCCUCGGCACCAGGCCCCCAGGUUCAUUUUCGGACUCCACCAAAUGCUGAAUGUGCCACCCUGGGUAAGUUAUAUAACCUCUCUGAGGCUCAGUUUUCUCAUUAUCAUUUCUUUUCUACAGACGGAGAAACUAAGGGGCAGAGAGAUGAAGUGACAUGUUGAAGCUUUGGGAGUGUGAAGUGUCAGAGCCAGGCAGUGUGCUUUUACAGUCCAGGCCCUCAAAGGCCACACCAGCUUGGACAGGGAAGAUGAAGCCUGGAGAGGGAAAGCAACUUGCAGGAGGCCCCUCCACGUUGAUAUCUGAAUGGAAGUAGAGCCUGCAUUUCCUGGGCCAUAAGAGCGGCUCUGGAUCCCAACACCUACUCACCAGCUGGGUCAUUUCAAACAACUUACUCACCUUCUCUGAGCCUCAGUUUCUCUACCUCAGGAAGACUAUCCACAGAAAAGCAACUCAUGGGUGGGCUUCCCUUUGAACAGCAGCCACUGAAGUCCUGGCCUUUGCAGAUGCACUUCCUCCACAGCCACUGCCUCCUUCUGUUCCUGCCGCUCUGGUGAAAUGGCUGCCUGAUUUCCAGGCCCAGACCAGGGCUGAUGUAUCUGCCUGUCACUGGGCAUCUAAUGGAUCAUUGGACAAAUUUGAUUUUCAAUAAAUCAGUCAUUUGAUGAAUUGAUAUUUGCUAA
rnacentral:lncRNA from 13 species